rnacentral:rRNA from 1 species
CCCUUAGAUGUUCUGGGCCGCACACGCGCUACACUGAAGGAGGCAGCGUGUACUCCUGGAUCGAAAGAUUUGGGUAACCCGCGAAUCUCCUUCGUGCUAGGGAUUGAGGUUUUCAAUUAUCCUUCAUGAACGAGGAAUUCCCAGUAAGUGCAAGUCAUAAGCUUGCGCUGACUACGUCCCUGCCCUUUGUACACACCGCCCGUCGCUACUACCGAUUGAAUGAUUUAGUGAGGACUUCGGACUGGGACCGAUGCGGCUUUCGGGCUGCGUCGGUAUUCUGGAAAGAUGUCCAAACUGUAUCAUUUAGAGGAAGUAAAAGUCGUAACA